rnacentral:lncRNA from 1 species
GUCCAAAACAGGUGUUCUGACUGGAGGACAAGCUACCAAUUAACUAGGAACAAUUUAGUGCAAAGAGAUGGAAAACAAAUAGAAUGCAGAUAAAAAAGGUCACACAGAAGCUAAAUUAUCUGUUGGUUCAUUCUUAUCCCAGGCCAAUUAUUCCAAUUGUGUUGAGAGCCAUAUAAAUCAAGUCUAACUAUCCCAAGUCUUCUAAGAAGCUAUCCUUUAGUUGGAGUCCAACUGAGUAGGACUAGAAAAAUAUCGAGGAGUCCAGUAUUGUAUUCUGGGAAGAAUUAUCAUGACUUACAUUUCCAAAAAAUUUUAUGGCUUGCAUAUUUAAGUCCUGUAAGAUUUAUUAUGCUCAUUCUGAAGAUGAAAAAGCUGAGACUCAGAGGGGAUGAAGUGAUUGUCUGUCAGCUCAGUGUUUGAAAACCUUUGCAAGAUGACCUUUGAGGAUUUGGAUGCUUUGGAUUUCCUCUAUUUGUGGCAGGAGUGCCCCUCAAACAAUGGUGUAAACUGAGCUUACCAGUAGAAGCUGAAGAAAAACAAGACAAAAUGAGGAAAGGCAGUGUCAGGACUCUACAAGUGCCCAGUCCUAAAUUCCCACAAACUAAAGAGGACUUCCAUGAAUGCCAUAUAAAGGUAGAAAACCAAGAGCUCUGACUUGCCCCUUUUUCAACUGUGCUCUUCAAGCUUGAGCUCACUUUCUCAUGGAUUC